rnacentral:rRNA from 1 species
GCUCCAGGGAUUAGUGGCGAACGGGUGAGUAACACGUGAGUAACCUGCCCUUGACUCUGGGAUAAGCGCUGGAAACGGCGUCUAAUACCGGAUACGAGCUUCAGCCGCAUGGCUAGGAGCUGGAAAGAACUUCGGUCAAGGAUGGACUCGCGGCCUAUCAGCUAGUUGGUGAGGUAAUGGCUCACCAAGGCGACGACGGGUAGCCGGCCUGAGAGGGUGACCGGCCACACUGGGACUGAGACACGGCCCAGACUCCUACGGGAGGCAGCAGUGGGGAAUAUUGCACAAUGGGCGAAAGCCUGAUGCAGCAACGCCGCGUGAGGGACGACGGCCUUCGGGUUGUAAACCUCUUUUAGUAGGGAAGAAGCGAAAGUGACGGUACCUGCAGAAAAAGCACCGGCUAACUACGUGCCAGCAGCCGCGGUAAUACGUAGGGUGCAAGCGUUGUCCGGAAUUAUUGGGCGUAAAGAGCUCGUAGGCGGUUUGUCGCGUCUGCUGUGAAAACUGGGGGCUCAACCCCCAGCCUGCAGUGGGUACGGGCAGACUAGAGUGCGGUAGGGGAGAUUGGAAUUCCUGGUGUAGCGGUGGAAUGCGCAGAUAUCAGGAGGAACACCGAUGGCGAAGGCAGAUCUCUGGGCCGCUACUGACGCUGAGGAGCGAAAGCAUGGGGAGCGAACAGGAUUAGAUACCCUGGUAGUCCAUGCCGUAAACGUUGGGAACUAGAUGUGGGGGC